rnacentral:misc_RNA from 1 species
GAUGAAGAACGCAGCGAACGUGCGAAACGUAAUGUGAAUUGCAGAAUUCAGUGAAUCAUCGAAUCUUUGAACGCAUCUUGCGCUCCUUGGUAUUCCGAGGAGCAUGCCUGUUUGAGUGUCGUGAAUACUCUCAACUUCAACCCUUUUUUCGGAAAGGGAGGAAGGUUGGACUUGGGUGUUUGUUGAAGUGCGAGCUUCGACUCAUCCUAAAUGCAUUAGCGAUCUGCCUCGAUCACACACAAUGUGAUAAUUAAAACUAAAGCAUUGUUUAAUGAUCAAGUCGAGACUGCUUCUAACUGUCGCAAGACAAUAACGUGCAUACAUUUGUGCAUGUCAUUUGACCUCAAAUCAGGUAGGACUACCCGCUGAACUUAAGCAUAUCAAUAAGCGGAAGA